rnacentral:lncRNA from 1 species
AUAAUUUACAGUUGGGCUUUUGUUACAGCAGGAGCUAAUGAGAGCUGGAAUGUAGCCAAGUCUGUCUUGUAAGAGACUGUAAUUGUGACAACUUGUCAGCUCCCCUUGCCUCACAAGGAAGGUCUGUGUGCAUUCAAAUGGCAUUUGGAGUCUGAACCAAUAAGAACAGUGUUCUCAAUUCCACCAAUGGAAAGCAAACGCUGAGGAAAGCUUUGAGAUCUCCUUCAUAGCUGCUGACUCAUUUCUCCCUCCAAACUUAACGGGUGCUGCCGCAGAAACCACAGAAUAGUGUGGAUGACAAGAAAAAUAUAAUUUAUCCUAAGCACUGAAUACAAUACAAAAAAGAGAAAAGCAUCCUUGGCUUAUCUUAUUGAAGAUGCCACCGGAAUACAUCCUGUCUUACUGGCAAUCACAUGUCAACUCCAGAGCAGAGAGCAGAAUGAAGAGGAAGAGGAAGAGAAAAACUUCCUACUUGUCCCUGCUUAGAUUCUGAGUCUGCCUGCUGUGUCACUUCCUGCCUGGAUCAGAAGACUUUACUAUGUUUUCCAGAAUACUCUUUGAAUCCCAGUCCCACCUAACUUGCUACCUCAUUGGCUGAACAGUGCCUUAUUCAACAACCAAUAAGAUAAACAUACAGUGACAUGUAAAAAAAUCUUGUUUCUAAUUCAAAUAAAAAAUUGGAAAAAAGAUAAACAUACACAGAAGGAUGUCCCCCAUCACAUAUGAGAAACAAAAUCAAUUUUUACAUAUAACUUAGUGCUACUUCUUGUGAAUUUGUUACUGAAAAAUUGCACAUAGUAGACAUAAAACAAUGAGCAAUGGAAUAUUUUACUUUAUAGGUUAUUUUAUUUAUCUCAUGAAUAUAAUUAUACUCACAGUGUUUUACUCUUUCUAUAUGAGUUUCUCUAUUUCAUGUCACAGAAUGGGAUCAGCAGCAUGAGUAAUAGAGGGGACCUGCAGAUGUCUUGUGAAAACAAAAAGGUUUUGAUAUUAAAGUUGGAGAACAUAAAAUCUAAAUUUUAUAUGCAGAAAUAUUGAGUUCAAACUUCAUAUUUCAGUUUCAUGUAUAUGACUGAACAUUGUUUCAUCAAUAAAGCUAAACACAGUAUCUUAAUUUGCACAAAAUUUUGCAGUUACUUCAGUGACACAUUCUAGGUUACAGUCACCUACAUAAAAAUAUCUAGUAUAAAAUAAGUUAUAGUCACAUCUACAAUUCUCUUGUCAAUGAGUAACAAAAUUAAUUGGUUAAUAUGUUUUGACAAUCUCAUGGCUCAUUCUAAUAUUUGUCCCCUAUAUUUACACAGUUUUUUAUGUAUGACUAUCCUACCAUAUGGAAUUAAGCAUGGACCCUCCUGGUUCAACUUCCAUGAUCAUGUGGUUAUCUUCACAUAUUAAUUAUGGAAGUAGCAGGAUGAGAAAUAAAAUGGGUCAUCAAAGGAUUUUUAAGGAACAGUUUUUUGACUAACCAAACAAGUGAAGACAUGUAUAGCAAGAACUUUCAGUCUUUAAAGGAAGAAAUUAAAGAAGACAUCAGAAAAUGAAAAGGUCUCACAUGAUCUUCAAUAGGUAGGAUCAAGAUAGUAAAAAUGGCAACCUUGCCAAAAGCUAUCUACAGAUUCAAUGCAACUCACAUCAAAAUGCCAACACAAUUCUUCACAGACCUUGACAAACCAAUAGUCAACAUUUUAUGGAGAAACAAAAGACCCAGGAUAGCAAAAAAAAAAAAAAAACCCUGUAUAAGAAAGGAACUUCCUGAGGCAUCGCCAUUCCUGAAUUCCUGACUUCAAGCUCUAUUAUAAAGCUAUUGUCCUGAAAAUAGCUUGGUAUUGGCACAUAAAUAGGCAGCAAACCAAUGGAAUUGAACUGAAAACCCUGAGAUGGACCCACACAACUACCAACACCUGAUUUACACAAAGGAAAAAAGAAAGCAUCUUCAACAAAUGUUGCUGGCAUAACUGAAUGCUGGCAUGUAGAAGACUGAAGAUAGAUACAUGUCUAUCACCAUGCACACAACAUAAGCUCAAAUGGAUCGGAGACCUCAAAACAAAUCCAGCCACAAUGAACUUAUUAGAAGAUAAAUUGGGUAGUACUCUUGAAAUAAUUGGUAUACAAGACUGGUCCCUGAACUUUAUACCACUAUACAAGAAGGACAUCUGUUCAACUAUGCUCACAGCAGCCUUAUUUGUAAUAGCCAGAACCUGGAGGCAACCUAAAUGCCUCUCAACUGAAUAAUAGACAGAGAAAAUGCAGUACAUUUACACAAGGUAGUACUACUCAGUUGGAUAAAAGAAUUGAAACUUGAAAUUCACAGGCCAAUUGCUGGAACUAGAAGAAACCAUUCUGAGCAAGGUGACCCAGUCACAAAAAGACAAACAUGAGCCUUCAUCGAGCAUCUAAUGGAAGUAGAAGCAAAUACCCACAGCUAAACACUGAAUUGAACUGGAAUCCAGGUGCAGAGAGGGAGGAGUGAUGGCCAAAUGGAUCCAAACCUGGCUGGUGAAACCCACAGAAGCAGCUGACCUGAGCAAGGGGGAGCUCUUGGUCACCAGACUGAUAGCUGGGAAAACAGCAUAGGACUGAUUCAGUCCACAAGAAUGUGGUUGUCAGAGAGGAGGCCUAGGAAAUCUAUGGGGCCCUUUAUGGUAUAUCAUUAUUUAUUGCUAGCAUAGGACUGGAAUUUGUGAGUCUAUUCCACAUAGAGGGAUACUCCCUGUUCCUAGAUAGACAUAAGAGUGCAUAGGCCCUUUCCCAAAGGAUAUGAGAGACGCUGAGGAUCUACUAUGGAAGGCCUCACACUCACUACUUUAGCAUCAAGGUCAUAGGAUAAGUAGGGUGUUAGUGACAGGUGGCAGGAGAGGAGUGGAAGAAGAAGGAACUGGGAUUAUCAUGUAAAACAAUCUUGUUUCUAAUUAGAUAAAAAUGGAGGAAAAAAACAGUUCUUGACCUGAUAGGUGCAGACAUAUAAUCCAAAUAUUAGGUAUAUUAAUAUUCUUUUUCAAGCUGCAAAUAGUAAUAUCAUUCAUUAUUUUAACCAUUGUUUCCUCAAUAAAAGUUAGGACAGAAUCUUUCUUUGCACACGAAAUUGGGUGUUGAAUCAAUGACAAACUCUAGGGCAAGGCAUCACCUGUCCUUAUAUAGUUAAAAAAAAGAAUUAAUCAUCUUGAUAUUCUCUCGAUUUACUCACAGAAGACCUAAACAUGCUUUUAAAUCUAUUCUAAUUGUCCAAAACAAAUCCAGAAGUGGCUCCUGGUGAACUUGUCUUUACUUGCAUAAGCUCAAGGCAAGAGUCAAAUAGAGGAAUGAAUCCUUAGUAGCCAAAUUCUGGGCUAUAUGGUAGUGACCAAAACAGAAUGGCAAUUUUAAGAGGCAAUAGAAACAAAGAAAUAAAUUGUGUUUUGGAGCAGUGGUCAGCAAUCUAUUCAGUGUCAGCAUGGACCACUCAACUUCCCAGAGCUUCAGCUGUAAACAUGGCUCCCUAAUACUCAGCUCUGAAGCUACCACUCAUAGGAACAAGGGCGGGGAUGCAGCCACCAAUGCCAACCUGCAACACAUGUACUAAGCUAAACUUUAUUAACUGCUACUAACAUUGAAGAUUUGCUUCAUACAGUUAAUGAACAAUAGAGAUAGAUUCAGACCAAAAAACAAAACUGCAGACAGGUUAAAAUGUAUUUAAAAAUAUACAUAUAUGAGUUUUUUUCUUUUUUCUCUUUGUGUUUUUUAAAUCUUUUAAAAUUUAAAUUAGAAAGAAGAUUGUUUUACAUGUCAAUCCCCGUUCCCUCUCCCUCUCCUCCUCCCCAGCACCCCACUAACAACCUGCCUUUCCAAUACCAUUUCUGCUCCCCACUGAGAGUGAGGCCUUUCAUGAGGGUCUUAAGGGUCAGCCAUAUAGUUUGGCAUAGGGCCUAGGCCCUCUCCCAUGUGUCAAGGAUGAGGGAGUAUCCCUUUAUGUGAAAUGGGAUCCCAAAGUCCAUUCCUAUUCUAGUGAUUAGUACUGAUCUACUACAAAAGGCAGUUUUUAUUCUGU